UACGGAGGGGCUAGCGUUGUUCGGAAUUACUGGGCGUAAAGCGCACGUAGGCGGCUUUGCAAGUCAGAGGUGAAAGCCCGGGGACUCAACCCGGAAUUGCCUUUGAGACUGCAUCGCUAGAAUUGUGGAGAGGUAAGUGGAAUUCCGAGUGUAGCGGUGAAAUGCGUAGAUAUACAGGAGGAACACCGGUGGUGUAGACGGCUCUCGUGGACCGUAACUGACGCUGAGACGACGAAAGCGUGGGUAGCAAACAGG
rnacentral:rRNA from 1 species